GGCAUGGUGGCUGAGUGGUAAAGCAUUAGGCUUCUGAACUGAGGUCCCGGGUUCAAAUCCCGGUGAAGACU
rnacentral:tRNA from 1 species